rnacentral:rRNA from 1 species
UAGAGCGGCGGACGGGUGAGUAACACGUGGACAAUCUGCCCCCGGCCCGGGAUAGCCCAGGGAAACCUGGAUUAAUACCGGAUGAGACGGGACCCGCGGAAGGCGGGACCCGGGAAAGGCGCUGCGGCGCCGCCGGGGGAUGAGUCUGCGUCCCAUUAGCUAGACGGCGGGGUAACGGCCCACCGUGGCGACGAUGGGUAGCCGGCCUGAGAGGGUGGACGGCCACAUUGGAACUGAGACACGGUCCGGACUCCUACGGGAGGCAGCAGCUAAGAAUCCUCCGCAAUGGGCGAAAGCCUGACGGAGCGACGCUGCCGUGAACGAAGAAGGCCGUGAGGUUGUAAAGUUCUUUUCGGGAGGGGGAACAACCGUGGCAGGGAAUGGCCGCGGGAUGACGUGAAUCCCGGAAUAAGCCCCGGCUAACUACGUGCCAGCAGCAGC